rnacentral:rRNA from 1 species
UACGGGGGGGGCAAGCGUUGUUCGGAAUUACUGGGCGUAAAGGGCUCGUAGGUGGCCAACUAAGUCAGACGUGAAAUCCCUCAGCUUAACUGGGGAACUGCGUCUGAUACUGGAUGGCUUGAGUUUGGGAGAGGGACGCGGAAUUCCAGGUGUAGCGGUGAAAUGCGUAGAUAUCGGGAGGAACACCAGUGGCGAAGGCGACUUCCUGGCCUGUUCUUGACGCUGAGGCGCGAAAGCUAGGGGAGCAAACGGG